UAGGUGAGGCGGAAACGCGUAGCCGAUGCACAUACGGUAGAGAUUCCGUAGCCUCCGAAAAGUAAAGCACAGGGACGCUUCAGAAGUGUUACGCCGGGCGAUGGUAGCCCCGGUUGUAAAGGACACAAUUGAGUGGAAGGUAACAUGGAUGGAGACAAGAAGAGCUGUGUGUAUCUGGAAGGAGCCCGUACCGCAAACCGACACAGGUAGAUAGGAAGAAGAUUCUAAGGCCAGCGGGAGAAGGGUUGUUAAGGAACUCGGCAAGUUGACCCCGUAACUUCGGGAGAAGGGGUGCUUACGAAGGUAAGCCGCAGAGAAUAGGCCCAAGCGACUGUUUAGCAAAAACACAGCUCUAUGCUAAAUCGAAAGAUGACGUAUAUGGGGUGACACCUGCCCGGUGCUGGAAGGUUAAGAGGAGAUGUGAGAGCAUUGAAUUGAAGCCCCAGUAAACGGCGGCCGUAACUAUAACGGUCCUAAGGUAGCGAAAUUCCUUGUCAGGUAAGUUCUGACCCGCACGAAUGGUGUAACGAUUUGGGCACUGUCUCAACAACCUACCCGGCGAAAUUGUAGUAUCGGUGAAGAUGCCGGUUACCCGCGACUAGACGGAAAGACCCCAUGGAGCUUCACUGUAGCUUAAUAUUGAAUUUUGGUAUUUCAUGUACAGGAUAGGUGGGAGACUGGGAAAUACAGGCGUCAGCUUGUAUGGAGUCACUGUUGGGAUACCACUCUUGAGGUGCUGAAAUUCUAACCUGCGUCUUUGAAUCAAGACGGGGGACAUUGUUAGGUGGGCAGUUUGACUGGGGCGGUCGCCUCCAAAAGAGUAACGGAGGCGCUCAAAGGUUCGCUCAGCAUGGACGGAAACCAUGCCAAAGAGUGCAAACGCAAAAGCGAGCCUAACUGCGGGACUGACGGGUCGAGCAGUAACGAAAGUUGGAGUUAGUGAUCCGGCGGUAUGUGAGUGGAAAUGCCGUCGCUCAACGGAUAAAAGCUACCCUGGGGAUAACAGGCUGAUCUCCCCCAAGAGUCCACAUCGACGGGGAGGUUUGGCACCUCGAUGUCGGCUCAUCGCAUCCUGGGGCUGAAUUCGGUCCCAAGGGUUUGGCUGUUCGCCAAUUAAAGCGGUACGCGAGCUGGGUUCAGAACGUCGUGAGACAGUUCGGUCCCUAUCUGUCGUGGGCGUAGGAUAUUUGAAAGGAGCUGUCCCUAGUACGAGAGGACCGGGAUGGACGCACCUCUGGUGAACCAGUUGUCACGCCAGUGGCACGGCUGGGCAGCUAAGUGCGGAACGGAUAAACGCUGAAAGCAUCUAAGCGUGAAGCCGACCUUAAGAUAAGAUAUCCGUUCUUCGGAAUAAGACCCCUUGUAGACUACGAGGUUGAUAGGCUUAAAGUGUAAGCAUGGUGACAUGUUUAGCUUGCAAGUACUAAUCGGUCGAUUGCUUUU
rnacentral:rRNA from 1 species